rnacentral:lncRNA from 1 species
AAGAAAAGAAGAAGCGUUGUCCGUACAGGCUGAGGUCGACCUCGUCCAAAAUACCUCUAUCCAGGGAAGGUUCUCCCCGUCCAGUUGAGAGGAGUGUAUCUCCUUUGACAUCUUGGAGAAUGGAUGAUGCCGGUAUGCCAGAACCACUGCGGGAGAAGUUGAAUAUUUUUAAGAAAGAGCAUGAGACCAUGUCAAGUCAACAAACUUCGAAAGAACCAGUGCAGUUGAAUCAAGGUUCGGAAGAAGAAGAGAAUUAUAACGACACAUCUCAUGCUACGCAGUGGAAUCACAAACCUUUGCGAGGACAAGCGCGGGGGGAAUCUUGGCAAGCCGAUCACGUAGGUCUCAGUCUCAAAAAGGAGCCGCACAAUUUUGAACUAGAUAAGUUAAAGAAUAUAGUAGCAACAAUGCAGGAGGAGCACAGACAGUGUAUU